rfam:Triticum aestivum genome assembly, contig: Triticum_aestivum_CS42_TGACv1_scaffold_529657_6DL
UAAAUACUCCCUCCGUCCGAAAAUACUUGUCAUCAAAAUGGAUAAAAAGAGAUGUAUCUAAAACUAAAAUACGUCUAGAUACAUUUCCUUUUAUCCAUUUUGAUGACAAGUAUUUCCAGACGGAGGGAGUAUUUG